AACGCCCGGGCGGCGCAAGCCGACGGAAAGUGCAACAGAAACAUACCGCCUGCUUCGGCAGGUAAGGGUGAAAUGGUGCGGUAAGAGCGCACCGGCGUCCUGGUGACAGGGCGGCCGUGAAAACCCCGCCUGGAGCAAGGCCAAAUAGGGGAGAAGGGGUCCCGGCCCGUUAUCACUCCCGGGUUGGCUGCACGAGCGUUACGGCAACGUGGCGCCCAGAGAGAUGAUCGCCGCUCCCGCGCCGCGGGAGGCACAGAAUCCGGCUUACAGGCCCGCUGAACUG
rnacentral:RNase_P_RNA from 1 species